rnacentral:piRNA from 1 species
UAAUAAUAAGGGAUAAUUUGUAA